ACUUCCGUCUAUAGGAUGGAAGUCGUCAAAUAUCGGGGGAGAGUAUCACAAGCUCUCCCGACACUUCUGUCUAUAGGAUGGAAGUCGUCACAUAUCAGGGGAGAGUAUCACAAGCUCUCCCGACACUUCUGUCUAAAGGAUGGAAGUCGUCACAUUUCGAGGGGGAGUAUCACAAGCUCUCCCGACACUUCUGUCGCUCUAACCAGAAGUCGUCAAAGAAAUUGAGCACGGUAAAAUCUGUCACUUCGGCCAGUUUUACCGAGGACAAAUUUGAGCAGAAGAGGGACACACAAAAGGAUGUUUUCUUUUUGCAGGAAAGGUUCUAAUAGUGAACCAGACUCUGAUAGUGAGUCAGACUCUGAUAGUGAGUCAGCAGGUUAUGUAUCCAGGGCGAGAAUCAGACUCUGAUAGUGGAUCUGUAGCCUUGGACAGAAUCAGGUUCUAAUAGUGAACCAGACUCUGAUAGUGAGUCAGAUUCUAAUAGUGAAUCCGCGCGAUCUGUCGCUUCGGCCAGAACCCGAUUCGGAUAAUGAAUCCACGCAUUUUGCUGCUUCGGCCAGAAUCAGAUUCUAAUAGUGAAUCCACGCAUUCUGUUGCUUCGGCCAGAAUCAGACUCUAAUAGUGAGUCGGCACUUCUGUCAAUUCAGCCAGAAGCUGUCACAUUUUUUGAGCAUGAUAGAUCUGUCGCUUCGGACAGAUCAAUCAAGGAUUUAUUGAGCAUAAGGAGGAGUGGCAUGAGAGGCAGCUCCGCACGGCAAGGUCAGUAAAUCAAUAAAUAUAUCCUUUAGACUGAUAUAGUUGUUUUGCAGGUUGUUUUUCGUUUUGCAGGCAUGAUUCUGUCGCUUCGGCCAGAACCCGAUUCGGAUAACGAAUCCACGCAUUCUGUUACUUCGGCCAGAAUCAAACCAAGAAUUAUGUUGUCGCUUUGGCUUCAAUAGUUCUUCAAGCAUUUGGAGAUCAUUUUUGUCAUUUGACCUUAAUGAUCUCGACCCAUCUUGCGCUUCGGCCUAUGGGGUAACCGUCGUUGCGGACACCAAGUCGCCCUUGAUUAGGGUAGACUAUAAACAUCAGUUCUGAUAGUGAACUAGAUUCUGUUGCUUCGUCCAGAAUCAGAUUCCAAUAGUGAAUCCACGCGAUCUGUUGCUUCGGCCAGAACCCGAUUCGGAUAACGAAUCCACGCAUUCUGUUGCUUCGGCCAGAAUCAGAUUCCAAUAGUGAAUCCACGCGAUCUGUUGCUUCGGCCAGAAUCCACACAGCAAAAGUCUCUCUUGAUCAGAGUAGGACUAUAAACAUGUAGUUCCGUUGGCCUGGAACUAGAUUCUGAUAGUGAAUCAGUCCAUCUGAUAGUGCAUGGACUACGCGGAGUCAUUAGUGUCGCUGUGAGCACAAUGACUAGAUUCUGAUAGUGAAUCAGUCCAUCUGAUAGUGCAUGGACCACACGUACUACCUUGCUCGGGGGGGGGGGGAGACUGAGGCUACACGGGUGAGACAUGCCUAACACGACAGUCACUCCCAG
rnacentral:lncRNA from 1 species